rnacentral:lncRNA from 1 species
AAAUUUUAAAUGUGCUAACAGCUAAGUAAUGAAUCUUAUCUCAGUAGUAAAUGAAAUCUACUACAGAAUGAUCUACAUUCAGUAAAUUAUUCUACUCAUAAAGAGUCCUUUAACAUAGCAAACAAUCUAUCCUAAUAUAGCUGUUUUUAAGAUUUGGUGUUUCUGAAUAUUAGAGUUUCCUUAAGGAUCUCUACAUCAUAUAGUGAUCUGAAACAUGUGAAACCAUUUAUGUUGUAUGCAAAAAUUUGGAACAUACUGUCUUCAAAAUCUGAAAUGGAACAUAAAAAUAACAACAUACAUUUAUUGGAUACUUCACUGUGCAUCAGUUUCCAAGCUAAGCACUUGAUACAUGCCAUCUCAUUUAAUCCUCACAAGAAUCCUACAAGGAAGCGAAAUGUGGUGAUUUUAAAGCUGUUAUAGUGGAAGUAUCAGGACAAGCCCAUUACACGGGUACAGCAAGCUUUAUAAUAGAAGAUGACGACCCAUUGAGGGAUGGAUUUCUUCUCAAGUGACUUCUUCCAUGAUUUUAAGGGCUUUCUUUUUAAAGUAAUCAUUAUCCUUAAGGACUGUUUUCUCUAAAUUAUAUGAAAACAAAUAAAUUAUACAUAUAAA